AAAAAGUUACCAGAUUUGGCUUUAGGAGCUGAUUUUUCUUUUGUAUCACCGUUGUUAGUGCGCCGUGGAUACUUAAACUAGUGUAGGUUGAGACUACGCUCGUGCUGAGGGGCAGAGCUCAUUUUUACAAUAGAGUUAGGCUGUUUUGUACUGUCGAAUGCCGUCGGGGCUGACGUUGGACCUAGAUUCUUACAUCUUGUAUCAAAUUAUGCCGAGGGCACGUGAGCCUUAGUUGUUAGACUAGUUUAAUCCAUUUGUAGUGACUAUAGUCUGUGUGAGUCUGAUUGAGCUCGACAGAGACGCGCUUACAUACUCGGUUGGGUCGCACCCACGAGUGCCGCUCCCAAGUGAGGCUUUUCUUGUGUUGACGUCAUAACAGUCCCGUUUGGGCUAUUUUCUUGGACCAGCCACCCCCGUGAGUGAUGUGGAGUGUAGUUUGGGCGCAGGCUGGACUGGCCAGUUGGCAGUCCCUUGAGAUUGGGUCCGUUGUUGCUGAUUUGUAGUUAUAGAUUUAUUUGUUUACAGAAAGCACGGUUUGGAUAGCGAUAGCAUAAUGGCAUUUAGCUGUAGAGUUUCUUCCAACUUAUUUUACUAUCCCUUUACUUAUCUGUUUACUUCUUGUAUUGUAGACUUAGUGGGUAGGCCGUUGGGGUCGGUGACUGUACCCACUGAGG
rnacentral:lncRNA from 1 species